AACGAACGCUGGCGGCAGGCUUAACACAUGCAAGUCGAGCGAGACCUUCGGGUCUAGCGGCGGACGGGUGAGUAACGCGUGGGAACGUGCCCUUCUCUACGGAAUAGCCCCGGGAAACUGGGAGUAAUACCGUAUACGCCCUUUGGGGGAAAGAUUUAUCGGAGAAGGAUCGGCCCGCGUUGAAUUAGGUAGUUGGUGGGGUAAUGGCCCACCAAGCCGACGAUCCAUAGCUGGUUUGAGAGGAUGAUCAGCCACACUGGGACUGAGACACGGCCCAGACUCCUACGGGAGGCAGCAGUGGGGAAUCUUAGACAAUGGGGGCAACCCUGAUCUAGCCAUGCCGCGUGAGUGAUGAAGGCCUUAGGGUUGUAAAGCUCUUUCAGCUGGGAAGAUAAUGACGGUACCAGCAGAAGAAGCCCCGGCUAACUCCGUG
rnacentral:rRNA from 1 species